AGUGAACGCUGGCGGUAGGCCUAACACAUGCAAGUCGAACGGCAGCACAGUAAGAGCUUGCUCUUACGGGUGGCGAGUGGCGGACGGGUGAGGAAUACAUCGGAAUCUACUUUUUCGUGGGGGAUAACGUAGGGAAACUUACGCUAAUACCGCAUACGACCUACGGGUGAAAGCAGGGGAUCUUCGGACCUUGCGCGAUUGAAUGAGCCGAUGUCGGAUUAGCUAGUUGGCGGGGUAAAGGCCCACCAAGGCGACGAUCCGUAGCUGGUCUGAGAGGAUGAUCAGCCACACUGGAACUGAGACACAGUCCAGACGCCUACGGGAGGCAGCAGUGGGGAAUAUUGGACAAUGGGCGCAAGCCUGAUCCAGCCAUACCGCGUGGGUGAAGAAGGCCUUCGGGUUGUAGAGCCCUUUUGUUGGGAAAGAAAAGAAGCAGGUUAAUACCCCGCUGUUCUGACGGUACCCAAAGAAUAAGGACCGACUAACUUCGUG
rnacentral:rRNA from 1 species